rnacentral:rRNA from 1 species
CCGGCGACCGGCGCACGGGUGAGUAACACGUAUGCAACCUGCCCCUCGUCAGGGGGACAACCCGCCGAAAGGCGGGCUAAACCCGCGUACAUGCCACCGGGGCAUCCCGGAGGCAGGAAAGGCUUCGGCCGGACAGGGAUGGGCAUGCGGCGCAUUAGGCAGUAGGCGGGGUAACGGCCCACCUAACCGACGAUGCGUAGGGGUUCUGAGAGGAAGGUCCCCCACACUGGUACUGAGACACGGACCAGACUCCUACGGAAGGCAGCAG